rnacentral:rRNA from 1 species
UACGGGGGGGGCAAGCGUUGUUCGGAAUUACUGGGCGUAAAGGGCUCGUAGGCGGCCAACUAAGUCAGACGUGAAAUCCCUCGGCUUAACCGGGGAACUGCGUCUGAUACUGGAUGGCUCGAGUUUGGGAGAGGGAUGCGGAAUUCCAGGUGUAGCGGUGAAAUGCGUAGAUAUCUGGAGGAACACCGGUGGCGAAGGCGGCAUCCUGGACCAACACUGACGCUGAUGAGCGAAAGCGUGGGGAGCGAACAGG